GUGGGGAAUAUUGGACAAUGGGCGAAAGCCUGAUCCAGCCAUGCCGCGUGUGUGAAGAAGGUCUUCGGAUUGUAAAGCACUUUAAGUUGGGAGGAAGGGCAGUAAGUUAAUACCUUGCUGUUUUGACGUUACCGACAGAAUAAGCACCGGCUAACUUCGUGCCAGCAGCCGCGGUAAUACGAAGGGUGCAAGCGUUAAUCGGAAUUACUGGGCGUAAAGCGCGCGUAGGUGGUUUUGUAAGUUGGAGGUGAAAUCCCCGGGCUCAACCUGGGAACUGCCUCCAAAAAUGCAUGACUAGAGUACGGUAGAGGGUAGUGGAAUUUCCUGUGUAGCGGUGAAAUGCGUAGAUAUAGGAAGGAACACCAGUGGCGAAGGCGACUACCUGGACUGAUACUGACACUGAGGUGCGAAAGCGUGGGGAGCAAACAGGAUUAGAUACCCUAGUAGUCC
rnacentral:rRNA from 1 species